UGCCCAGCAACUCCUAGCCCUACCUCCUCGUGGUACUGGCCGGGGUACGAGUAACCUUGGGGAAGAUCGGGUAACCAACCCCCGGUGGGAACUUUGGUCGUAUGCUGACAGGGAAGG
rnacentral:ribozyme from 1 species